rnacentral:rRNA from 1 species
GGAGGGGGCUAGCGUUGUUCGGAUUUACUGGGCGUAAAGCGCGCGUAGGCGGGCUGGUCAGUUGGGGGUGAAAUCCCGAGGCUCAACCUCGGAACUGCCCUCAAUACUACCAGUCUUGAGUUCGAGAGAGGUAAGUGGAAUUCCUAGUGUAGAGGUGAAAUUCGUAGAUAUUAGGAAGAACACCAGUGGCGAAGGCGGCUUACUGGCUCGAUACUGACGCUGAGGCGCGAAAGCGUGGGGAGCAAACAGGAUUAGAUACCCUGGUAGUCCACGCCGUAAACGAUGGGUGCUAGUUGUCAGGCAGCUUGCUGUUUGGUGACGCAGCUAACGCGUUAAGCACCCCGCCUGGGGACUACGGUCGCAAGACUA